AGUUCAUCAAAACCAAUUGCAGACUAAUCAUUUGCAUCAUUCAACACAUAAUCAUGCACCAAAAUAAGGAUCAUGUGCUGCAGGCAGAUUAGCUUCUGAUAUCUGUAAUUUAUAGCAUGAAGUAUAAGGCAAGGACCUACUUCCAACUAACAAGUGUCUUGCAAUUGAAGCUCAAAAAUCUGCAAAUAAUUUAAGCCAAGCCAAGAAUACGAAUGUUUGAUGUAGAACAAGAAGAA
rnacentral:misc_RNA from 1 species